CGACUCUCUUCAUGAAUAAGAACCUCCUUAGCUUGCUGCAGCUUCUGGAAAUUCUCCACUGCUUUGGGGUUUCCAGGGUGUUUGUCAGGAUGACAUUCAAGGGCUUUAAUCUUAAAUUCUGCAAGAAUUUGUUCAACCGUAGAUAGUUCAUCACAUCCUAGCAAGUUGUAGUAAUCUUCCAACUCAUCCAGUCUGCAGUUCAAAAUUGCAUCCAUCUGGGCUGGUCCAGCAGGCUUUUUCAAGCUGAGGCACAGCGGGUUUAAAACACAAUAUCAAUACACAGC
rnacentral:lncRNA from 1 species